rnacentral:rRNA from 1 species
GCGAGUCGAGAGGGUUCGGCCCUCGGCAAACGGCUCAGUAACACGUGGGUAACCUGCCCUCAGGAUAGGGAUAACCCCGGAAAACUGGGGAUAGUACCUGAUAGGUGGAGAUGUCUGGAACGACUCUCCGCUCAAAUGCUCCGGCGCCUGAGGAUGGGCCUGCGACCGAUUAGGUUGUUGGCGGUGUAAUGGACCACCAAGCCUGAAAUCGGUACGGGUGUUGAGAGACAUAGCCCGGAGAUGGGGACUGAGACGCGGCCCCAGGCCCUACGGGGCGCAGCAGGCGCGAAAACUCCGCAAUACACGAAAGUGUGACGGGGGAACCCCAAGUGCUCUCGCGCAAGCGAGUGCUUUUGUGAAGUGUAAAUAGCUUCAUGAAUAAGAGCUGGGUAAGACCGGUGCCAGCCGCCGCGGUAACACCGGCAGCUCGAGUGGUGAUCACUAUUAUUGGGCCUAAAGCGUCCGUAGCCGGUUUGGCAAGUCCUUGGGCAAAUCCUGUCGCUUAACGAUAGGAAUUCUGGGGAUACUGCCAGACUUGAGGCCGAGAGAGGUCGGAGGUACUUCUGGGGUAGCGGUGAAAUACUAUAAUCCUAGGGGGACCGCCAGUGGCGAAGGCGUCCAACCAGAGCGGACCCGACGGUGAGGGACGAAAGCCAGGGGCGCGAACGGGAUUAGAUACCCCGGUAGUCCUGGCCGUAAACGCUGCAUGCUAGGUGUUGCAUGCUCUAC